GGAGAGCUGCCCGAGCGGCAAGGGGGCGGCUUGCUAAGCCGAUGCCGGUGCUGAGAAGCGCCGCGCGCGUUCGAUCCGCGCGCUCUCCG
rnacentral:tRNA from 1 species